rnacentral:rRNA from 1 species
UACGAAGGGUGCAAGCGUUAAUCGGAAUUACUGGGCGUAGAGGGUGCGUAGGCGGUUAGUUAAGUCUGUUGUGAAAUCCCCGGGCUCAACCUGGGAAUGGCAAUGGAUACUGGCUAGCUAGAGUGUGUCAGAGGAUGGUGGAAUUUCCGGUGUAGCGGUGAAAUGCGUAGAGAUCGGAAGGAACACCUGUGGCGAAAGCGGCUCACUGGACCAUUACUGACACUGAGGCACGAAAGCUAGGGGAGCAAACAGG